rnacentral:rRNA from 1 species
UACGAAGGGUGCAAGCGUUACUCGGAAUUACUGGGCGUAAAGCGUGCGUAGGUGGUUCGUUAAGUCUGUCGUGAAAUCCCCCGGCUCAACCGGGGAACGGCCUCGGAUACUGGCGGCCUGGAGGGGGGUAGGGGCGUGCGGAACUGUGGGUGGAGCGGUGAAAUGCGUUGAGAUCCACAGGAACUCCGGUGGCGAAGGCGGCACGCUGGACCCUUUCUGACGCUGAGGCGCGAAAGCCAGGGGAGCGAACGGG